rnacentral:rRNA from 1 species
AGCAGCCGCGGUAAUUCCAGCUCCAAUAGCGUAUAUUAAAGUUGUUGCAGUUAAAAAGCUCGUAGUUGAAUUUCGGGGUUAGUAGGUCGGUCGUGCCACAGGUAUGUACUGGUCUCACUGAUUCCUCCUUCCUGAUGAACCGUAAUGCCAUUAAUUUGGUGUUGCAGGGAAACUGGACUGUUACUUUGAAAAAAUUAGAGUGUUUAAAGCAGGCUAACGCUUGAAUACAUUAGCAUGGAAUAAUGAAAUAGGACGUUCGAUCCUAUUUUGUUGGUUUCUAGGAUUGACGUAAUGAUUAAUAGGGAUAGUUGGGGGCAUUAGUAUUCAAUUGUCAGAGGUGAAAUUCUUGGAUUUAUUGAAGACUAACUACUGCGAAAGCAUUUGCCAAGGAUGUUUUCAUUAAUCAAGAACGAAAGUUAGGGGAUCGAAGACGAUCAGAUACCGUCGUAGUCUUAACCAUAAACUAUGCCGACUAGGGAUCGGAUGAUGUUAAUUUUUAAUGACUCAUUCGGCGCCUUAC